UGCAGCGAGAGCGGCUUCACCGCCAGGAACACCGCGAGCCGGCCCGAGCGCUUAAACACGCACCUUCAGCAGAGAACCUCUCCCUUCUUCCUCUUUCACUGACAAGUUAAUGAGUGGCAUGAGUGUCCUUUUUUUUUUUCCCCCCCCAAUUUAUUAGUAACAUUUAAUACAAAAUUUUUAAGGCGAUGUGGGAUAAACAAGAUAGCUACAGGACUAGCGGAACAAAGUUUGGUUAUAAACUGACAUUUCAUGUAUUCUUUUAAAAGAAAGUUCCAUAUCUCUCAUCUCCAAAAUUAAAAGGCAGAAGGUUAGAAGGUUCUGGUUCCCAGAAAAACAAUCCUACUUCCUACGCUUCUUCAAUUUCUUACAGAAGUCUCCAUCUCUGCUCCUACUAGGCUGAAAUUAUUUAAAACAUUAAAUAAUACUUUACAGCUGCAUGCUUUCCUCCAACAGGACAUUUUCUCAUGGCUUUAAUGUACCCGUAUGUAUUGUUACAAUUUGAUAACCUUAGUGGUACAUAAUCUUCGCUCAGAAACACUCCUGCAGUAUAAGCCCAGGGUGAUGAAAUAACCUUGUAAUGGGAACAGAUUAAUUGCCUAAAGCCAUCUGGGGUCAGCUCCCAACCUUUUCCCUCAGGAAGGACUUGCUGGAAGUCCUCACUGAACAGAAUUUAUUCAUUUGUAGCAUUGCCCAAAAUGGGAUUUCCUGCUGCAAAUUUUUCCUGUUGCAGAAGUUCAUUAUUUAAAAGCUGUUGAUUUCUUUCAGCUGAUCUAUAGUGGUCUGUCACCAAUGCAUACUCAGUGACCUCCUUUUUGUGCAAAAUAUAUUUAUUCUAAUUUUUUUUUUUUUAUUUAUAGAUCAUAUAGACAAUUAAAUCCUUGCUAAAUUACUUCCAGAGAAGAAUCAAAUUUAGGUAUGGUACAAAGGACAGACACAGCUACUUCUGAAGGUAGAAUAAUUUAGCUUUAUAUAAUAUGAACCCAAGUAAUUUCACAACUUGAACUUCAGCAGUUAUCCUUUAAGAAAUAUCUUCUGGUGCACUAAGCCCUUUUCUGGUGAGACAAGCUGCUCAGGAAAGGACCUAGUGGGAUAUAAGUGGAAGAAUAUUCCAAUACAAGUAUAGAAGUAUUUCACAAAACGGGCAGAUAGGUCUUUCGGCUUUCCUGUAUUGAAGACAAUAAUUACAGGCCAGAAACCUCAAGAAAUAAUUUUCUGCAGAAGGCCAUGCACUUUAGGUUUAGCUAAGCCAUUCAGCUUCUUUGUUCAAGCAGAAUAAGAACAGCAUGCAGGAUCCAAGGUGCAGAUUGAUUAAGCAAUCAGUUGCAAAUCUGACUCAUGAGCAAUCAAUAGUAGCACAAGAGUUUUCAGGCUUUCUGCAAAUUGUUUUGCAGGACAGUCAUUUUACCAUUGUGGGUCAGAAAUGACAGAUGCAAGUGACUAAUUUACAGUGUGACAUCCCUUCCCAGAGCACAAGGAAGCUGUUCACAAAAGGGGAAAUGCAUGACUAAUUAUUUCCCCCAUCUGCAUUUCACUGAAUAUAAAGGAUAAUUUGCCCAGCCUUGUUUUGUUACUGGCUAAUUGUGACCUGAAUGAUGUAAUCUGAGUGAGUAAAUGCCCCAACAGCAAUACAGAGCUUGGGGGAGGCUGCAGAUUUUCUAUAUGUGGCCUUUGCAAAGUGAGGCCAUAAAAACUUUGAGUUACUGAGUAAUUAUGGAGCUAGUAAAUCUUCACUCUUUUUGUUUAACACCCCAGUUUCCACUUGUCCUUUCAUUCAGAUCUUUCCAAAACAGACACUUAUACUGAGCACUUUCUCUGCUUCUCAGGAGAAACAUAAGAAAAACUAAAUUAUUUUCAAAAAACGAGUCCACUUUUAUCAAUAGCCCAUGCUUUCCAGCCAAGAGAAAAAUAUAAGUAGGCAACCACAUAGUUUUUGCCAUCCUUUGGGAAAAGCAAUCCAAACAUGAUGAGAUCACAAUACUUCAAAAGUUUCAGCUUGUUGACACCAAAGAAACAUGAAUUUGUUCAUUUAGCAGCAAAUGGGAAUGAUUGUUUUCUCUGCAAAGACCACACUGCACUUUGGUGGUCAAGUGGACUGUUUGCUCUUCUUUCUACUUUAUUUCUCAUCGAGGGAGUUGAGACUGUGGAUACCACUGUCUGCCAGUCCAUUACUGCUUAAUUAGAAACUCAGAGUUGAAAAGAGUGAGCAUAGGUGACAUUGUGUCUUAGCAGGAAAGCUGCAGGAGGCAACAGGAAUGGAUAGACACAAAUAAGGAUGGCAAGCAUGACUAGGUUGGAAAAGAGCAGAAAAGCAGGAAACUAGAUGAAUCAGAAAAAAUCUGCCUGUGCAAAACUGUCUUUAAGUCACUACAAGACACAUUUUUCUGUGGAUCUUUGUACUCUGAACAUUCUUGUCCUUCCACUGCUGUAAAAUAUCUGGACCAUUGAAAACGUAAUGAAAUACUUUCUCCUCUAGAGGGAAGAGCUACCUACUAAUGCCAACAGUAUGUUUAAUCAAGUGAGUAGUUUUGUUAGUGACUUCUAUUUAUGCAAGUGACACCAUUCCAGGCUGCCAGAAUAACUUCAGCAGGAACAGCCAGGGAGGCAGAAGACAGCAAUUUCCUUCAUUUGUGUGAGUUCAUCUGUUGUUGAACUUUGCUUUCCAGCAAUGACUUCUUUCCCUUAGGACCAUAAGUUGUAAGCUGAAACUCACUUUACUGAAGAAUUAUGAAGCAAUGCCAAAAUAAAAAAAAAGAAAUCACAGGCAACUGUGUGCUGUGGUGGAGGAGCUUGUAGACACUUUACAUGCAGCAGGAAAAAUGACAAGGUGGCCCUGAGCACCUCCGGAGGGCACUGUAAGGACACCUAAAGGAGGCUCUGUCUUUCUCGUCUGAGGAACCAACAAACAACGCUGAGCAUCUCUGUCCUGCCAGAACCUAGACCACCACGCAGACUGAGACACAGAAGCUUUGGGCUCAUUAAUCUCCUCUGCUCAGCCUGACAAGAAUUUCAGAUGAGAGCCCUAGCCCCAGACCUACUUUGUGAAGAGGGAUCUCUUUGUGAAGAUCUCUUUUGCUGAAGAGGGAAUUCUAUCCAAUGAUGAGUUCUAAGGCAGACCAGGAAAAAGUCUGCUACAAGUAGUGUUUCAGACCUUACUCCUUGCAGUAUAAAUGGACACUAUUAGACCGUAAUAGGUCCCAGUUUUGUACAAUCCUGGGAAUAUGAACCUAAAUAUGAGAACAUUACUCAUCAAAUGUCUGCUCAGACUGUUGGGGCAGAGAGUGGGGCAGGAGAAUCCCUUCCCUUUUCUGAGUAAGAGUUUGCUCUUUAUGUUAUUAUGCAAAAAAAUAACAUUUCCUUGCAUCCUUCCCCAGAGCAAGGUAGUCUGAACUAUGGUGUGGGUACCUAGUUCAAAGCAUCCAGUCCACCCAGUGUUCCAUGUACAAAACAAGACAGGGACAGUGAACAGAUGUUCUUGCUGCUGACUGGGAAUCAGGUGGAACCUAUGUGUCAAAAUCUCAGUAUAAGCAAGACUUCAGGAAGCUCGUUCUUGUCCCUUUAUACAUUGACUGUUCUAUAAUCAGGACUCAGAAAGCGAAACCAUGGCUGCUAUUCUUAUUACACUGAUAAUAUUUUCCCUUCCUUCUUCUUCUGUUUAAUAAAAGAUAUUUCCUAAGCAUAGACUUGCUCAGCCUUUAUUGUCACAUCUUCCUGGCUAAUACAAUAGAGCUGAUAGAUGAUAAGAAUCUGGAAAUGGUCAAAAUCAGAAAAAUGGCCACUGUACUAAAUCAAAGUUUUGGUUGAUAAACUUCUCUCAACACACUUUUUAAAGCUUGAUACUUAUGCUGAAUAUCAUUAACAGUAUAACCAUGUUUACCACUCAAGGUAAAUUAAUUUUCCUUCCUUAGUUCUACUUUUAGCAAACACAGCCAUGCCAUAUUGGUUUACCAAAAAUAAAAAUAACUAGAAUGAUCAGAUGCUUUCUGAUGAAGCAAGAAAUCCAUUUUAAAGCCACCCAGAAACUUAAUCCUCAGUGUAACUCAGCUGAACUGUUGUACUAAGUAAAAACUGACUGAAAUGAAGGUAUCUGAAGAUCCACAUCUGAAAGAGACGCCACUGAGACAAUCCACAAGUUAGUGUAAUCCUCUAAUAUCUGAUCUGGAAGCAAGUGAUCAGAAGGUAAUUUUCCAUGUGAUAAUGUCAGUGCUUGUACAUCAUGACAUAACCCCUCCUUUAACCGCACAUUAGAAAAACACAUUACAUCAGUACAUUUAAAUCAUCCUGAUUUUUUUUUUUCUUCUUUUACAUUGUGUUAAUCCAUGUUUCCUGACUUAUUGGCAGAACAAAAUGAAAACCUAUAGACAGCUGGAUGUCAUAUUUCAGUCUGUAAAAUUAUUACUUUGCAAACCACAUUUGAUUCAUUCCAAAGCUUCAAGAAGAGUUUAACCUCAGCAGGCACAACCCAUCACAUAU